AUACGGAGGGAGCAAGCGUUAUUCGGAAUCACUGGGCGUAAAGGACGCGUAGGCGGGUUUGUAAGUCAGGUGUGAAAUCCUACAGCUCAACUGUAGAACUGCACUUGAAACUACAGACCUAGAGUAUGGAAGGGGCAGAUGGAAUUAGUGGUGUAGGGGUAAAAUCCGUAGAUAUCACUAGGAAUACCGAAAGCGAAGGCGAUCUGCUGGGACAUUACUGACGCUGAGGCGUGAAAGCGUGGGGAGCAAACAGGAUUAGAUACCCCUGUAGUCC
rnacentral:rRNA from 1 species